CUGACAGAAUGCUUAACACAUGCAAGUCGACUCGAGUCUUCGGACUUGGGUGGCGCACGGGUGAGUAACGCGUAAAGAACUUGCCUCUUAGACCGGGACAACAUCUGGAAACGGAUGCUAAUACCGGAUAUUAUGGUUUUUUCGCAUGGAGGAAUCAUGAAAGCUAGAUGCGCUAAGAGAGAGCUUUGCGUCCCAUUAGCUAGUUGGUGAGGUAACGGCCCACCAAGGCAAUGAUGGGUAGCCGGCCUGAGAGGGUGAACGGCCACAAGGGGACUGAGACACGGCCCUUACUCCUACGGGAGGCAGCAGUGGGGAAUAUUGGACAAUGGACCACAAGUCUGAUCCAGCAAUUCUGUGUGCACGAUGACGUUUUUCGGAAUGUAAAGUGCUUUCAGUCGGGAAGAAGUCAGUGACGGUACCGACAGAAGAAGCGACGGCUAAAUACGUGCCAGCAGCCGCGGUAAUACGUAUGUCGCAAGCGUUAUCCGGAUUUAUUGGGCGUAAAGCGCGUCUAGGCGGCAAGGAAAGUCUGAUGUGAAAAUGCGGAGCUCAACUCCGUAUGGCGUUGGAAACUGCCUUACUAGAGUACUGGAGAGGUAGGCGGAACUACAAGUGUAGAGGUGAAAUUCGUAGAUAUUUGUAGGAAUGCCGAUGGGGAAGCCAGCCUACUGGACAGAUACUGACGCUAAAGCGCGAAAGCGUGGGUAGCAAACAGG
rnacentral:rRNA from 1 species